UACGUAGGGGGCAAGCGUUGUCCGGAUUUAUUGGGCGUAAAGAGCGUGUAGGCGGCUUUACAGGUCCGUUGUGAAAACUCGGAGGCUCAACCUCGAGACGCCGGUGGAAACCGUAAAGCUAGAGUCCGGAAGAGGAGAGUGGAAUUCCUGGUGUAGCGGUGAAAUGCGCAGAUAUCAAGGAAGAACACCCGUGGCGAAGGCGGCUCUCUGGUACGGAACUGACGCUGAGACGCGAAAGCGUGGGGAGCGAACAGG
rnacentral:rRNA from 1 species